rnacentral:rRNA from 1 species
AGUCGACGGGGAUUUUAGAAGAAGCUACUUGUAGUGGACUUUAAUAUUCUAGUGGCGAACGGGUGAGUAACGCGUGAGGACUUACCCAUUUCCGGGGGAUAACAGUUGGAAACAGCUGCUAAUACCGCAUAAGCCUAAGGGUAAAAGAAGUAAUUCGGGAAUGGAGAGACUCGCGUCCUAUCAGCUAGUAGGUGAGAUAAGAGCUCACCUAGGCUAAGACGGGUAACCGGACUGAGAGGUCGAACGGUCACACUGGAACUGAGACACGGUCCAGACUCCUACGGGAGGCGGCAGUGGGGAAUUUUGGGCAAUGGGGGGAACCCUGACCCAGCGACGCCGCGUGAGUGAAGAAAUUCCUCGGAAUGUAAAGCUCUGUUGUAUGGGAAGAUAAUGACGGUACCAUACGAGGAAGCCCCGGCAAACUACGUGCCAGCAGCCGCGGUAAUACGUAGGGGGCAAGCGUUGUCCGGAAUUACUGGGCGUAAAGCGCACGCAGGCGGAAUUGUAAGUCCGUUGUAAAAUUCAGAGGCUCAACCUCUGUCUGUCGGCGGAUACUGCAAAUCUAGAGUAUGUGAGAGGGAAGUGGAAUUCCUGGUGUAGCGGUGAAAUGCGUAGAUAUCAGGAGGAACUCCGGUGGCGAAGGCGACUUCCUGGCACAAGACUGACGCUCAUGUGCGAAAGCUAGGGUAGCGAACGGGAUUAGAUACCCCGGUAGUCCUAGCCGUAAAUGAUGGAUACUAGGUGUGGGUGUCGCAGGGCAUCCGUGCCG